GACAGAGGGUGCAAACGUUGUUCGGAAUUACUGGGCGUAAAGCGUGUGUAGGCGGUCUUGUAAGUCGGAUGUGAAAGCCCCGGGCUCAACCCGGGAAGUGCACUCGAUACUGCAAGACUUGAGUACCGGAGAGGUUGGUGGAAUUCUCGGUGUAGAGGUGAAAUUCGUAGAUAUCGAGAGGAACACCGGUGGCGAAGGCGGCCAACUGGACGAGUACUGACGCUGAGACACGAAAGCGUGGGGAGCAAACAGG
rnacentral:rRNA from 1 species